UACGUAGGGUGCGAGCGUUGUCCGGAAUUACUGGGCGUAAAGAGCUCGUAGGUGGUUUGUCGCGUUGUUCGUGAAAACUCACAGCUCAACUGUGGGCGUGCGGGCGAUACGGGCAGACUGGAGUACUGCAGGGGAGACUGGAAUUCCUGGUGUAGCGGUGAAAUGCGCAGAUAUCAGGAGGAACACCGGUGGCGAAGGCGACUCUUUGGCCUGUAACUGACGCUGAGGCGCGAAAAGCGUGGGGAGCAAACAGG
rnacentral:rRNA from 1 species